CCCGUCAUUGCUUCAGUAACGUGAUGUGGUUGUUAUCAUAAAGUAGAAAAAGAUAUUUUUGUGUUCCAAUCAAAUCAUUUAAUUAUCCACCGGUGUUCCUGGAACACUAAGUCUUUGUUUAUCCCAGAAUCAAAUUCGCAACAAAAAGACAAGGCGGCCGCCAGCAGCAGCCUUAGCUUCCAUGGAAAAGCUUCAGAGGCUUAAUUAGCAAAACGAGCACGAUGUUGUGGUUGACAGAAGAUAGAGAGCACAAAUGAACAUAUACACCCAGUCACCCAGAUCCAGGAAAAUGAUUGUGUAUGAUCAGUUUUGUGCUCUCUUUUCUUCUGUCAACAUAUUAUAUAUAUAUUAUGAUCUUCCUGCAGUUCCAGUUCCAGAUAUAUGCAGAUAUGCCCUUCGUUACCGAUGCUAUAUAUUCUUCUUAUAUAAUAUGAUCUUCCAAUGAAGGUAAGAGUUAGUGAUUACAUGUAUAUACAUAUAAAGUCUCACGAUCUUAGUGAUUACAUGUAUAUAUAAGCUCAGAUUAAUUGCACGGAGCAGCAAUUCUUUCUUGGCUCAAGCUCAAGCAUGCUUACCCAAAAAGCUAGAGAAGUUAAUUUUAAGGUGAACCAUGCGACUAGCUAGCUUAACAUGACAGUUGAACAAAUAAUAAACUAAUAAAUUUCUGUCAGUGCAAUGCAAUGGAUGAUGGGGUUGGAGCUCAGCUGGGUCAAAACACAACACGUACGUUCUUGUUCUUGAGGAGCAGCAACGUUGUUUGAACUUUGCUACAGAUAAUGAAUGCUGCUGCAAGGGGUUGCCAGAUCUCUCUAGUUUGUUGGUUUUCAUACUUUGGGAAAUGUUGUCUUUGGAUUCUAUAACUAUCAAUUAAUGGGGAGAGAGGCUUCUUCCCUUUUUCUAUCGAUCAAUCUAUCAAUCAAGGCUUUCUCUUUU